AGGAGUGUAGCUCAACUGGUAGAGCGCCGGUCUCCAAAACCGGAGGUUGCGGGUUCGAGACCUGCCACUCCUGCCA
rnacentral:tRNA from 1 species